rnacentral:rRNA from 1 species
CUACGGGUGGCUGCAGUGGGGAAUAUUGCACAAUGGGCGCAAGCCUGAUGCAGCCAUGCCGCGUGUAUGAAGAAGGCCUUCGGGUUGUAAAGUACUUUCAGCGGGGAGGAAGGGAGUAAAGUUAAUACCUUUGCUCAUUGACGUUACCCGCAGAAGAAGCACCGGCUAACUCCGUGCCAGCAGCCGCGGUAAUACGGGAGGGUGCAAGCGUUAAUCGAAAUUACUGGGCGUAAAGCGCACGCAGGCUGUUUGUUAAGUCAGAUGUGAAAUCCCCGGGCUCAACCUGGGAACUGCAUCUGAUACUGGCAAGCUUGAGUCUCGUAGAGGGGGGUAGAAUUCCAGGUGUAGCGGUGAAAUGCGUAGAGAUCUGGAGGAAUACCGGUGGCGAAGGCGGCCCCCUGGACGAAGACUGACGCUCAGGUGCGAAAGCGUGGGGAGCAAACAGGAUUAGAUACCCCAGUAGUC